rfam:Gossypium hirsutum cultivar TM-1 unplaced genomic scaffold scaffold280.1, whole genome shotgun sequence
UGUUAAAUCUUUCAUUCGUUUGUAGUGUUAAAAACUGGUCUGGUUAAUUGAACGACCAGACAGUGACACGUGGCAUGCCACUUAUACCUUAUGCUAAUGUAUAAUGACUUGUUUUUAACAGUAGAAAAAUGAAUGAAAUUUUUAACA